rnacentral:lncRNA from 1 species
AUAAUAUACUUUGACAUUUUCAUAUGACAGGUCAUGGAAGAUUGAAGUGAUUGUCACAGAACCCUUGCUUUGGCAAGAGCACAGCUGUGAAGAUUCAUUCAUUCCUGUAAUGAACAAAAGGCAUGAUGGUGUCAUCCGUGUUGCUGUUGUUGCUGUUUUGAAGUGAAAACUUUCUGUCCUCGAGGUGGUGAGGAACUCAGAAGGUGACAUUUCACUAAUGACU